rnacentral:rRNA from 1 species
AACGCUAGCUACAGGCUUAACACAUGCAAGUCGAGGGGAAACGACAUCGAAAGCUUGCUUUUGAUGGGCGUCGACCGGCGCACGGGUGAGUAACGCGUAUCCAACCUGCCCACCACUUGGGGAUAACCUUGCGAAAGUAAGACUAAUACCCAAUGACGUCUCUAGAAGACAUCUGAAAGGGAUUAAAGAUUUAUCGGUGAUGGAUGGGGAUGCGUCUGAUUAGCUUGUUGGCGGGGUAACGGCCCACCAAGGCGACGAUCAGUAGGGGUUCUGAGAGGAAGGUCCCCCACAUUGGAACUGAGACACGGUCCAAACUCCUACGGGAGGCAGCAGUGAGGAAUAUUGGUCAAUGGACGAGAGUCUGAACCAGCCAAGUAGCGUGCAGGAAGACGGCCCUAUGGGUUGUAAACUGCUUUUAUAAGGGAAUAAAGUGAGUCUCGUGAGACUUUUUGCAUGUACCUUAUGAAUAAGGACCGGCUAAUUCCGUGCCAGCAGCCGCGGUAAUACGGAAGGUCCGGGCGUUAUCCGGAUUUAUUGGGUUUAAAGGGAGCGUAGGCCGGAGAUUAAGCGUGUUGUGAAAUGUAGACGCUCAACGUCUGCACUGCAGCGCGAACUGGUUUCCUUGAGUACGCACAAAGUGGGCGGAAUUCGUGGUGUAGCGGUGAAAUGCUUAGAUAUCACGAAGAACUCCGAUUG